UUAUUUUUUAAAUAUAAAUUUUUCUAUUAGUUUCAAACUAUAUACAUUUACAUCUUUGAUAUUAUAUUGUGGCAGGUAAAAAAUGAAAUGUAAAUAAGAAUCAAGAUAUUGUGGUGAUAUUAUUAAAAUCUCCAUUGAAGUAGUAAUGGGAA